rnacentral:tRNA from 1 species
CGCGGGGUGGAGCAGCUUGGUAGCUCGUCGGGCUCAUAACCNNGUUCAAAUCCGGCCCCCGCAACCA